AAAAGCGGAGCGAUUGUUUUUUGAGAAGCCUCCUAAGGUGCCAAAUUGAUACAAAUGGUCUGACACAUGUUCAGGAAACACUAUGUGGUAACUAAGCCAAUGAGAAAUAUCAUACCAAAGUUUACCAAAAAAAUCACAAGAGAGGAAUAAGUGUUUUGCAUCCUCCAUCAUGCCGCAUCCACCCAGGCAUAAUCGAGCAUUUGGAAGUAAAAUGUGUCUUUUAAUUAGAUUGUCCGUUGUUGGUAAUCUAUCCCGCAAUAGACGCCAAGCAAAGAGACUAAUUUUCAGGGGCACUUCCUUGUUCCAGAUUUCUGACGUGUGAGUUGCUGACAAGUUGUUGCUGAUUGGUGUUAACAGAUGGUUACAAGCACUUGUGACAUUAUAUAGUUGUUGGAAGCAUGUAAGUGCCAAAUCCACCUGUCAGAAUGAUUAGGCUGCAAAACAAUAUUAGUUAAAAUAUCACAACACUCCCGCACCUUCUCCUCCUCCCAAGCAAACAAACGACGCCGCCACUUCCAAGCUUCCCCCUCUUCUCCCCACCCAAGCGAAUACAUUUCAGCCACCGUUGCCAUUUUAUUA
rnacentral:lncRNA from 1 species